GCUCCGGUAGCCUAGCGUUUAGAGCGUCCACCUCAGAAGUGGGAGGAUGCGGGUUCAAACCCCGGCCGAAUCA